AUUGAACGCUGGCGGCAGGCCUAACACAUGCAAGUCGAACGGUAACAGGAAGAAGCUUGCUUCUUUGCUGACGAGUGGCGGACGGGUGAGUAAUGUCUGGGAAACUGCCUGAUGGAGGGGGAUAACUACUGGAAACGGUAGCUAAUACCGCAUAAUGUCGCAAGACCAAAGAGGGGGACCUUCGGGCCUCUUGCCAUCGGAUGUGCCCAGAUGGGGUUAGCUAGUAGGUGGGGUAACGGCUCACCUAGGCGACGAUCCCUAGCUGGUCUGAGAGGAUGACCAGCCACACUGGAACUGAGACACGGUCCAGACUCCUACGGGAGGCAGCAGUGGGGAAUAUUGGACAAUGGGCGCAAGCCUGAUGCAGCUAUGCCGCGUGUAUGAAGAAGGCCUUCGGGUUGUAAAGUACUUUCAGCGGGGAGGAAGGGAGUAAAGUUAAUACCUUUGCUCAUUGACGUUACCCGCAGAAGAAGCACCGGCUAACUCCGUG
rnacentral:rRNA from 1 species